rnacentral:rRNA from 1 species
AUAAUGGGUCAGCGACUUAUAUUCUGUAGCAAGGUUAACCGAAUAGGGGAGCCGAAGGGAAACCGAGUCUUAACUGGGCGUUAAGUUGCAGGGUAUAGACCCGAAACCCGGUGAUCUAGCCAUGGGCAGGUUGAAGGUUGGGUAACACUAACUGGAGGACCGAACCGACUAAUGUUGAAAAAUUAGCGGAUGACUUGUGGCUGGGGGUGAAAGGCCAAUCAAACCGGGAGAUAGCUGGUUCUCCCCGAAAGCUAUUUAGGUAGCGCCUCGUGAAUUCAUCUCCGGGGGUAGAGCACUGUUUCGGCAAGGGGGUCAUCCCGACUUACCAACCCGAUGCAAACUGCGAAUACCGGAGAAUGUUAUCACGGGAGACACACGGCGGGUGCUAACGUCCGUCGUGAAGAGGGAAACAACCCAGACCGCCAGCUAAGGUCCCAAAGUCAUGGUUAAGUGGGAAACGAUGUGGGAAGGCCCAGACAGCCAGGAUGUUGGCUUAGAAGCAGCCAUCAUUUAAAGAAAGCGUAAUAGCUCACUGGUCGAGUCGGCCUGCGCGGAAGAUGUAACGGGGCUAAACCAUGCACCGAAGCUGCGGCAGCGACGCUUAUGCGUUGUUGGGUAGGGGAGCGU